AACGAACCCUUCGAUCCCCCCUGGCUACGGGCCUGAGCUACUCACAAAGGCCGGGGCGUGAACAGUGGAGGUUUCGUCACUACUGAGCGUGAUGUGAGGCAAGUCGGCAUCCAGUGCAUCACCAUGUGAAUGUGAUAAACCUGAUAGGGCCGUGCUGCACAGUGGGGACCUAAACAUCACAAUAAAAGGUAUUAGAAUAAAGACAGGGUCAAGUGUCGAAUCUGUUACUAGUUUACAGAUUACACUUAUGUACCUAGAAUCAUGUUUGGUAGAGUUUUGUGGAAUCCUUCCAGGCUGUUGUUUCCACGCAAACAUUUAUAGUAGGGCACGUCCACGUUGUUGAUGGUUGUGGUACGUGCCACCCUAUACAUGUUCAUAUCUGGUGAAUCCUGAAUGCACUCCAGGUGUUGCUGCUGGGCUGCCCACAUCUCAUCAAUGGCCUCACACACACACACACACACACACACACACACACACACACACACACACAGUGUGUUAGGUUCGCUUUACAUGCUGCACUCUGUGUUAAUGCAGUAAUAAAAAUUUUUUGUAUGAGAUCUUUUUUUUUACCAGGUGUUUUGAAGAGGCUCACUCCAUUCUCGUCCAGUCCAGUGGGACCUUUCAGCUCCUCAAUGGCCAGGGGGACGAGCCAGAAUGUUUCCUGAGCCCCGAGCGUAACCCUCCGAACAUGGUGUUUCAGCUGCUCCCUGGAAAUAUAGUCAAAAUAUAGACAAAGGCUGAUUGGCCAGCCGAAACCUGUUCAUCACUCCACGGCACAUCGGCUGCAGCUUUUCAACGGACUCCUCACAGUGCCAAAAGUGGAGAGGAUCUGGCUCCUGUAAUCCUGGACAUUGUUGGCCUCUGCCAGCAGGAAGGCGUGUCGCAGGAGCCAUGCAGAGGGAAGCUCUCUUGGAGAAGGUGGAGCUUGAAAAGUGUGCCCUAAUGAGGAGACUAUUCCUCCAGGUUUCAAAACAGUCAUGAGGAGUGUGGUGUACAGGUCCUUACGUUGAAGGUACUCCUCAACAUGAUUCUCCUGUAUCUGCCACCACACCUUGACCAUAGUGUUGCCUUCGGUCCGGUCCCUCAGAAGGCACACAACAUUCCUAUCCACACCAUGCCUGUAAGUGGAGUCACAAUCAAUAUGUUGAGGUUGAUUUGAGCGACUACUUUAAAGUCAGUUUAUUGCACAUGUUACUUAUGGUAUACUCACCUCCUGGUGAGGAUGGCAGGGAACAUCACUUCAUGAGCCUCACUAAGCUGUGAUAAAAUAGCAGGAUCCCACGCAAGCCACCGACCUAUUGUUCCACCUUCUCCACACUUAGCCGUCUUUGUACAGGGUCCACAGCACAAUACCUCAGUGAGCAUUGUGUACCAGCUGGACACAUCACAGAUGUGACGUACCUGAUGUACAUAUAAUAAUAAAAAUCAUUAGCAGCAUAUGACUUUCUGCACUCCUAUUUUUGCAUAUUUACAUACACACUAAAAAAUAUUCAACUGUAAUAUAAUUAAACUCAAACACAGGAGAAAUGAGUUAUACCCGGGGGAGGUAGACAGACUUGUAGAGGUGCACAUUCUGUCCUCUACCCACACAUUCAUCACCUCACGGACACUUCAGGGAGUACCUCCACACUCCAACAGGGCGCCACACAAUGACUCGGCUCCGAAAAAAUGGCUGAGGAAUUGGCAGACCACCUCUGAUGUAGCAGGGAGGUUCCGGUGUAAAACUACAUGCGGUCGGAUUUCAUCACCCGUCGCCUCUUGAACAGACCAGUGUUGUAGACCUGUAGAUUUGAACUGGAGUGAACAACCCUCUUUCGGUGUCCUCUUUGAGCCAGGAAAUGUUGGCAGAUGGGAUGCCACUGGAGUCUUCCCACAGACAUACCCAACCCUCUAGCUCCACCUGCAUCACAAACAACAUACACAAGGGAUUUGGUUAUUAUUGUGUACAAAAUAAUACUAAAACAAAUUGUUUUGAUUUAUGCUGUUUGUACAUAAUGUGAAUAGCACUUGCAGGGCUGUCAGUGCAAAGUGAUUCCACAGGAUAAUCAUGGCCCUGGGUCGUGGACGGGGCCUCUGUGUGCUGGCUAGUGGAUGCGUUCUGUUUGGGCUGGACAGAUGGCUCAGGCUGUUCUAGAGGGACAGUGGACUUGGGCUGCUGGAGGCAGGCAGCAGGCCUAGGCUUUCUUGGCCAGACAACUGACUGUGGUUUCUUCGGCUGGAUAGCCUCCUCAGGCUUUUUUGGCUGGACAACUGACUGUGGCUUCUUCUUGGGCUUUUUUGGCCGGACAACUGACUGUGGUUUCUUCGCAGGCUUUUUUGGCCGGACAACUGACUGUGAUUUCUUCUCAGGCUGUUUUGGCCAGACAGUGAACUUAGGUGGCUUGAUCUUGGCCAUGGGCCGAGAACCCUGGGACUGGGCCUUAAGCGAGUCUAAGAAUUUACCAAACAAAGUAGUCUGUAUUAUAAUUUUUUUUUUAGAACCAUGUUUACGUCCAUUAACUCUGUAUCUUACUUACCUUCCAGAGACUGGCUUGCAGCUAACAGUUCAGUGUCAUCACCUGGCCAUGAUGUAGGAUUACACUUAGUGUUGCUUGUCUGCGGGUGCUGGAAAACAAAUGCAUUGUAACUACCUAGAUUUUAUGACAAACCAGUUUUUUAUUUACACAUUCAGCCAACAUGAUUAAAAUAACACCUAUUGGACAAUUUUCAUUUAUUAAGCUAUUAUAUUAAUGCACAAUGCUAUUCUGCUCUCUUCCUGUUUAAUAACACUUAAUCUGUCCUUGUCAUUAAUAUACUUCCUGAACCUCUUCAUCUGCAUGCUUAUGAUGUGUGUCACUGGUGUGUGCAAGAACCUCCUCACAAAACUGUACGCCUUCUGUAUUCUUUCCCUCUGCUCAUCGCUGAACUGCUCUGGCCUGUCUUUUUGGGUAGGGUACUGACUGUAGAGCUCCCACAUCUCUUGAAAGGUGUGAUCCUUAAACCCUCUCUGACCGUAGAUACACCUGUCAAUGUUGGCCUCAAGGACAGUGGAGACUUGUGGAAAGCUCUCUGCAUAUUCUGCAAGGAAGUCUUUCACCCAUUCGUUCAGUAUCUCUGCCUUCCUAUGUGGGUUUGUUACCUCUGACCUGUGCUUGUCAAUUAUGCUGGAAUCAUAUGCAUCAACUUAGUACUGUCAUCAUUAAUAUCACUGUGAUUAUCAUAAUGAGUAAACAAACUUUGCAAGGGCUUUUAAUAAACACUAAUAACAGCCAUA